rnacentral:rRNA from 1 species
CCGUAAGGGUAAAGAUUUAUCGUUUCGGGAGAGGCCUGCGUAAUAUCAGCUUGUUGGUGAGGUAAUGGCUCACCAAGGCUACGACGUUUAGGGGCGCUGAGAGGCGGACCCCCACCGAUGGGACUGAGACACGGCCCAUACUCCUACGGGAGGCCGCAGUCGAGAAUCUUCCGCAAUGGACGCAAGUCUGACGGAGCGACGCCGCGUGCUGGACGAAGUGCUUCGGUACGUAAACAGCUUUUAUCGGGGACGAAAUUAUUGACGGUACCCGAUGAAUAAGGGGCUCCUAACUCUGUGCCAGCAGGAGCGGUAAUACAGAGGCCCCAAGCAUUAUCCGGAAUCACUGGGCGUAAAGGGUGUCAAGGCGGUCAUGUUAGUCGUUCGUAAAAUCCGUGAGCUCAACUUACGGCCCGCGAGCGAAACGGCAUGACUUGAGGUUGGAAGAGGUGCGUGGAACUCAUGGUGUAGGGGUGAAAUCCGUUGAUAUCAUGGGGAACACCAAAUGCGAAGGCACUAUACUGGCGCACACCUGACGCUGAAACAUGAAAGCGUGGGAAUCGAACGGGAUUAGAUACCCCGGUAGUCCACGCCCUAAACGAUCCGAACUGGCUAUAAGGAGUAUCGACCCUCUUUGUGGCGAAGCUAACGCGUUAAGUUCGGCGCCUGGGUAGUACGGCCGCAAGGCUAAAACUCAAAGGAAUUGACGG